ACCCCAUAAAUCGCCAGAGAACUACAAGUGAAAUACUUCAAACUCAAAGGACUUGGCGGUGUCCCAUACCGACCUAGAGGAGCCUGUCCUGUAAUCGAUACCCCCCGUUCUACCCAACCUCUACUAGCACCCUCCAGCCUAUAUACCGCCGUCGACAGUCUACCCCAUGAGGGCCUAAUAGUAGACACAAUAGUUAACCCACUAAUACGUCAGGUCAAGGUGUAGCACAUGUUGAGGAAGAGAUUGGCUACAUUUUUUUUUCUAAAAAAUACGAAAUGCAACAUGAAACACUGCAUGAAGGUGAAUUUAGUAGUAAGAUCAAACAAGAGUGUUUAUCUUAACAACGCUCUGGGACGCGCACACACCGCCCG
rnacentral:rRNA from 1 species